AGAGUUUGAUCAUGGCUCAAAUUGAACGCUGGCGGCAUGCUUUACACAUGCAAGUCGAACGGCAGCACGGGGGCAACCCUGGUGGCGAGUGGCGAACGGGUGAGUAAUGCAUCGGAACGUGUCUUCGAGUGGGGGAUAACGCACCGAAAGGUGUGCUAAUACCGCAUAAUCUCUACGGAGAAAAGCAGGGGAUCGCAAGACCUUGCGCUCUUUGAGCGACCGAUGUCUGAUUAGCUAGUUGGUGAGGUAAAGGCUUACCAAGGCGACGAUCAGUAGCUGGUCUGAGAGGACGACCAGCCACACUGGGACUGAGACACGGCCCAGACUCCUACGGGAGGCAGCAGUGGGGAAUUUUGGACAAUGGGGGAAACCCUGAUCCAGCCAUGCCGCGUGAGUGAAGAAGGCCUUCGGGUUGUAAAGCUCUUUCAGCCGGAACGAAACGGUCACGGCUAAUACCUGGGACUACUGACGGUACCGGAAGAAGAAGCACCGGCUAACUACGUGCCAGCAGCCGCGGUAAUACGUAGGGUGCAAGCGUUAAUCGGAAUUACUGGGCGUAAAGCGUGCGUAGGCGGUUCCUCAAGUCCGUUGUGAAAGCCCCGGGCUCAACCUGGGAAUGGCAGUGGAAACUAGGGGACUGGAAUCUGGCAGAGGGGGGUGGAAUGCCGCGUGUAGCAGUGAAAUGCGUAGAGAUGCGGCGGAACACCGAUGGCGAAGGCAGCCCCCUGGGCUGAGAUUGACGCUCAGGCACGAAAGCGUGGGGAGCAAACAGGAUUAGAUACCCUGGUAGUCCACGCCCUAAACGAUGGCAACUAGGUGUUGGGGAAGCGAUUUCCUGGUACCGCAGCUAACGCGUGAAGUUGACCAAUCACUA
rnacentral:rRNA from 1 species